rnacentral:rRNA from 1 species
AUUGAACGCUGGCGGCAGGCCUAACACAUGCAAGUCGAACGAGUGGCGGACGGGUGAGUAAUGUCUGGGAAACUGACUGCUGGAGGGGGAUAACUAAUGGAAACGGUAGCUAAUACCGCAUACCAUCGGAUGUGCCCCGAUGGGAUUAGCUAGUAGGUGGGGUAACGGCUCACCUAGGCGACGAUCCCUAGCUGGUCGGAGAGGAUGACCAGCCACAAUGGAACUGAUACACGGGCCAGACGCCUACGUGAGGCAGCAGUGGGGAAUAUUGCACAAUGGGCGCAAGCCUGAUCCAGCCAUGCCGCGUGUAUGAAGAAGGCCUUCGGGUUGUAAAGUACUUUCAGCGGGGAGGCGUUACCCGCAGAAGAAGCACCGGCUAACUCCGUGCCAGCAGCCGCGGUAAUAC